rnacentral:piRNA from 1 species
CCAGGCUAGUGAAUCCGGGACAAGC